CCUACGGGAGGCAGCAGUGGGGAAUAUUGCACAAUGGGCGAAACCCUGAUGCAGCGACGCCGCGUGAGUGAGGAAGGUCUUCGGUAUGUAAAGCUCUAUCAGCAGGGACGAAAAAAGACGGUACCUGACUACGAAGCCUUGGCUAACUACGCGCCAGCAGCCGCGGUAAUAUGGAGGGGGCCAGCGUGAUUAGGACUUACGGGGCGUAAGGGGAUCGUAGUCGGUAAGGCAAGCCAGAGGUGAAAGGGCAGGGCUCAACGCUGUACAUGCUUUCGGAACUGGGGUGCGAGAGUGCAGGAGAGGGAAGUGGAAUUCCAGGUGUAGCGGUGAAAUGCGUAGAUAUUAGGAGGAACACCAGUGGCGAAGGCGGCUACCUGGACUAUAACUGACGUUGAGGCGCGAAAGCGUGGGGAGCAAACAGGAUUAGAUACCCUGGUAGUC
rnacentral:rRNA from 1 species